rnacentral:rRNA from 1 species
UACGUAGGGAGCAAGCGUUGUCCGGAAUUACUGGGUGUAAAGGGAGCGUAGGCGGGAUAGUAAGUUGAUUGUUAAAACUAUCGGCUCAACUGGUAGAUGCGAUCAAAACUGCAAUUCUCGAGUGAAGUAGAGGCAGGCGGAAUUCCUAGUGUAGCGGUGAAAUGCGUAGAUAUUAGGAGGAACACCAGUGGCGAAGGCGGCCUGCUGGGCUUUAACUGACGCUGAGGCUCGAAAGUGUGGGGAGCAAACAGG